rnacentral:rRNA from 1 species
GUGGGGAAUUUUGGACAAUGGGCGCAAGCCUGAUCCAGCAAUGCCGCGUGCAGGAAGAAGGCCUUCGGGUUGUAAACUGCUUUUGUACGGAACGAAACGGUCCUGGUUAAUACCUGGGGCUAAUGACGGUACCGUAAGAAUAAGCACCGGCUAACUACGUGCCAGCAGCCGCGGUAAUACGUAGGGUGCGAGCGUUAAUCGGAAUUACUGGGCGUAAAGCGUGCGCAGGCGGUGCUGUAAGACAGGCGUGAAAUCCCCGGGCUCAACCUGGGAAUUGGGCUUGUGACUGCAGUGCUGGAGUACGGCAGAGGGGGAUGGAAUUCCGCGUGUAGCAGUGAAAUGCGUAGAUAUGCGGAGGAACACCGAUGGCGAAGGCAGUCCCCUGGGCCUGUACUGACGCUCAUGCACGAAAGCGUGGGGAGCAAACAGGAUUAGAAACCCUGGUAGUCC